UGGUGUGGGUCCAGGUAGCAAUACUGCAGAGUGACAUGUUUAGUAUGAAGUGGCCUUUACUUGGUAACCCAGGCAGAGGAAGUGCCACUUAUUGACCGUUACAGACAAUAAGAAAAAAGAGGAAGAAAGCACACACAGUUACCUGAAAAUGUGUUAUGUUGGUAAAGCAACAAAGAUCUUCCUUUUCAUUCUCUCCCUACUCCUCAUUCUUUCCAUCUCCCUCGGAUUUCUUCUCCUUCGCCACCGUCGCCACCACCACUCCUCCAACAUCGAUUGCUCCCUUUCCACCUGCAGCAACAUCAUUUAUCCUCCUCCUCCUCCUUUCACUCCAACACAACCUAACCCACUCACCCCACCACCACCACCACCACCACCACCGCCUCUAACCUCGCCUCCUCCUACUCAAUCUAACCCCUUUCCUCCUCCACCGCCGCUGCUGCUUCAAUCUCCUCCGCCACCGCCGCCACCCUCUCAGGCAGGUCCACCAACAAGCACGCCAAGGUCAGUGCUAGAGACGUAUGGCCCUGUAGUAGUUCAAUGAGUAAGUGUUCUUUAAUUCCACAUUUAGUGUGUUAGGUUCGUAUAUUGGAAUAAUGUUCAAGUAAUAGAUAGGUUCAUUAAAUAAAACUAUUCUCUCCAUUUCUUUCUUAUUUAAAUAGUUAAUAUACUUAUAAGAAUGCAACACCGAGUCUUUACUCUUUAGUCUCUAUUCUCUAAAACCCAGAAUGAAGAACCUUGUUCUUACGAUACUACUACUACUACUAGCUCAGAAGAUGCUAUAUAUCAUGCGUAAAUAGUUAAUAUUCUUAUAAAGUUCAUUAACUUCAAUGUUGUU
rnacentral:lncRNA from 1 species